AUCAACAAAGCAACGACUGCUGCUGAUUAAGAUUGAGAGAUUAAAGAGAGAGAUUAAGAGUGAAUCUGAAAUUCCGAUGAUUUCGAUGGUGUUCGAUUAAAGAGUUAAUGGUCUUAUGGAUGAUGUUUCGAACAGUGUUUGGUGAUUUAGGGUUUAACAAGAAAUUGCAGAUGAAACUGAAGAGGGAAUCAGAGCUGAAAUUGACAUGGGUUUGUCGAGAUAAGGAUUAUUGAGAACUGAGAUUGAUGAUUAAGUUAAGAGAAUUGAAGAAUUUCAGAAACUAAGGUUUGGUAUUGGGAAGAGCAGCUGAGAUUACUUCUUAUUUGUUUCCUAGCCCUAAACUUCAAACACCGUCAACAAAUCAAGAUGUGCAAGAGCAUCAUCCUUAUGAGAUUUUCUAUCGAUUUGAUUUCCUGUUGAUUUCUUUUUAAUUUUUCUUUAUACUCCAGGUUUUAGAGAAUCAAUCACUUUAAGAAGAUAAAGAUGUAUUUUUAAAUACUACAUCAAUGACAAUGGUUACACUAUCAAGGUAUUGCGAAUCAUGAUGGUUCCACUGACGAAAUUACAAGGAGCGGCAAAGAGGACAUAUUUACAUUACAAGUGAGAACAAAGUAACUCCACGGGUGAUUUAUGGCCAUCCAAGAAAGUGUCCACUUCAGACCCAAGUAAAGGCUAAUAACUUUCCAAGAUCUUGCUUAGAUUUCCAUACCAAAACUGACGGUUGGGUUCAAGUCAAGAUAUCCAAACUUUGCUUUCAAAAAGAUAAUGUAUCAAACUGACCAACACUUGAUAAUCUUAUUAAACAGGAAUCAUGUGUUGGUCGGAGCAUAAUAGACAGAGCUAAAAGUUGUGCUUGGGUACAAAUUGGGUUGCUGCAAUUGGGUUGGUGUAACCCUGAUCAAUUUGGUUCGUUUGCCCCACCAAGGGGCUUGAUUGAAUAUUGAAGUCAGACUCAAAUACGAUGGGGCCUUUAAAGGAUUAGAUGUUAUUUCUGCAUAUGUUGUUGUGAUAAUUUACCAAAGUUUCUACUUUGUGUGUCGAUAAAAGAUUGAUUGGUCACGGUAUCGUGGAGCCUUUUAUAGUAUGUGAAUAACUUAGCUUGCAGUAGCCACAAUUCAUGUCAUCGAGAAGUAUGAAUUCCAAGGAUAACAAUUCCUGAAUUGCCGGUUAGAGACAUGGCAAAUGUAAACUCUUGAAACCUCCACAAGAGCUUUUACCUGAUAGAGCCAAUUUGGCUUAUCAUUUUGUCGGUAGUCUUGCAUGUUGAAUAUAGGUUAAAGAAGACACUACUUUAUUCAUCAUUACUUAAUUGUAUAUGUACGAAGCAACAUCAAAUUCAAGGUUCACUGAAUCUCCCCCGCCACACCAAACUCAAGGUUUACAGCAUUAAAAUCACAGGACAGCAAAAUCAAAAGUGCAUCGCGAGCCGCGACAUGCGAGGCGUACCCGAACCAUACCAAAUCAAGCACGACGGGACGAGAUGAAGCCGAGCUACACCAAAUAAAAAUCCUAAGCAUGCGUAAAGACGGGACGAGGCAAAAAGGUUUUCGGGUCCGCCUGGUGCGUAGCACGGACACAAAAUCUAGUGGUUAAUAAAAGCAUAAGUUACAUUUAAGAGAACUCAUUUCUAAAAUCAAUUAUGUAUCCAGACUUUUUUUUUUGAUAAGAAAAGAAAUUCAUUUCAUUAAAUUGUAGAACAAAGGUCUUUUUCUAGAUUUUCUAGAAUGUAAUUUGGAGGAGUAGUGUACCAAACAUUCAUAGACUGAUUU